AUUCAGAAUUCUUUGCAUCAUCAUGCGGAUAUCUGUCAAAUUACAACAAAAUGAUUGUUUGAGCUUCCGAGAUAUGGAAUUUUUACAUUCUUAUGGAGGAUUCAAACUGGCAUGCCACGUUUUAGCAUAUUGUGCAGAUGCUUGUAUGUCAAGAAUUUAUAAAACUCAUAAUUGAAAUUUCAUUUAGGCUAAUUUCUUCCAUUAUUCACUGUCGUAAUCAGUUUUUUUGGCAAAUGCGAACUUAUUGUCUUACAGUAUGUGCACAAGGAUAGUACUUAGUGCGACAGAAAUUGAUGCAAGUACUGCAUGAAAAUUUUCAGGAAUGUGGAUAAGUUGUAGCAUUCAUACAGGGUAACAUGUGAUCAAUUUGUGAAAAGAACCAAAUCAAUUGUAACAAAAUUUGUGAAAAGAACCAAAAAUAUUCCCUGCAAUAUGUGUGCAUGGAAAUGUCUAUGUUUGUGUUGUUGAGGGUGAUAUAAUUAGUGCAAAAGACUUUCGUAUACAUGUAAAUCGUUUCAUUUAGUUAAAUUACCUUUCAGUGUUUUCAAAUUUGGUUGCAAAAAUACUAUUAGCAAUGGAUUUUCAUAGGAACUAUUAAUAGAUCAUUACUUUUAUAGUUUUUAUAUCAUGAAGUAUUGCAUAGAAGCUUGUCCACUCAAAGGGGUGGGGGUG
rnacentral:misc_RNA from 1 species